UACAGAGGGUGCGAGCGUUAAUCGGAAUUACUGGGCGUAAAGCGUGCGCAGGCGGUUUUGUAAGUCUGUCGUGAAAUCCCCGGGCUCAACCUGGGAAUGGCGAUGGAGACUGCAAGGCUAGAAUCUGGCAGAGGGGGGUAGAAUUCCACGUGUAGCAGUGAAAUGCGUAGAUAUGUGGAGGAACACCGAUGGCGAAGGCAGCCCCCUGGGCUAAGAUUGACGCUCAUGCACGAAAGCGUGGGGAGCAAACAGG
rnacentral:rRNA from 1 species